GGGUAUGGCUGUUCGCCAUUUAAAGUGGUACGCGAGCUGGGUUUAGAACGUCGUGAGACAGUUCGGUCCCUAUCUGCCGUGGGCGCUGGAGAACUGAGGGGGGCUGCUCCUAGUACGAGAGGACCGGAGUGGACGCAUCACUGGUGUUCGGGUUGUCAUGCCAAUGGCACUGCCCGGUAGCUAAAUGCGGAAGAGAUAAGUGCUGAAAGCAUCUAAGCACGAAACUUGCCCCGAGAUGAGUUCUCCCUGAGACUUAGAGUCUCCUGAAGGAACGUUGAAGACGACGACGUUGAUAGGCCGGGUGUGUAAGCGCAGCGAUGCGUUGAGCUAACCGGUACUAAUGAACCGUGAGGCUUAACCUUAC
rnacentral:rRNA from 1 species